AAGAAGAUUAUGUGGGGAAAUUUGUUUGACAUACAGAAAACAAAUAUAGCCAUAAUUGAGAUGAAACAGACAAGCAUUACGCCUAAUCUAUUCCCUUUAAAAAUGUAAAACGACAUUUUAGCUAAUAACAUGAUCACAGCAUGCAGUGACCUUAAAACGGAGAUAAGAUGUCAAAGAUGAGAGAUGGAGACAGCAUCUUUUGGUUUCCAAACGUGUUGAUGACCGGUGUGAUUCUGUGAAAGCCAUGGAGCGAUUCCUGCAAAACAAACAGAGAAGUCCUUUAGGUUAGAAGGAGCGUAGAAUGAUUUCAAGAAGCUUUCAUUUAUGAUGGGAAAAUAGACAGAACAGUUCAUAAUGUUGGAGAAGAAUAAUAGGUUGGUCUGCCCAGGUCAGGAAAAGGGCAUACCUGUUCUUGGUGGAGAAAAGAGGCAGCAAACCUUAAUCCCGGGAGAGAUACUCACAGUGGUGAUGCAAUCAUAGCAUUCAACAGUGAAUGUGUACCUUUAGAGUCGCCGGGUACUUUAUUUAAG
rnacentral:lncRNA from 1 species